AACGAACGCUGGCGGCAGGCUUAACACAUGCAAGUCGAACGCAUCCUUCGGGGUGAGUGGCAGACGGGUGAGUAACGCGUGGGAACGUGCCCUUCAGUUCGGGAUAACCCAGGGAAACUUGGGCUAAUACCGGAUACGUGCGAGAGCAGAAAGAUUUAUCGCUGAAGGAUCGGCACGCGUCUGAUUAGCUAGUUGGUGGGGUAAGGGCCCACCAAGGCGACGAUCAGUAGCUGGUCUGAGAGGAUGAUCAGCCACAUUGGGACUGAGACACGGCCCAAACUCCUACGGGAGGCAGCAGUGGGGAAUAUUGGACAAUGGGCGCAAGCCUGAUCCAGCCAUGCCGCGUGAGUGAUGAAGGCCUUAGGGUUGUAAAGCUCUUUCGUCCGGGACGAUAAUGACGGUACCGGAAGAAGAAGCCCCGGCUAACUUCGUGCCAGCCGCCGCGGUAA
rnacentral:rRNA from 1 species